GGGUAAUUAGUCUAAAAAAGACAGCCGAUUUCGACUCAGCAGAUUAUAGUUCAAAUCUAUAAUAACCCU
rnacentral:tRNA from 1 species